GACGAACGCUGGCGGCGUGCUUAACACAUGCAAGUCGAGCGAUGAAGUUACUUCGGUAAUGAAUUAGCGGCGAACGGGUGAGGAACACGUGAGGAAUCUGCCAUUCACUCUGGGAUAACACCGGGAAACCGGUGCUAAUACCGGGUAUAUAAAUUUUGCGGCAUCGCAGAAUUUAGAAAGUUUUUCGGUGAAUGAUGACCUCGCGGCCUAUCAGCUUGUUGGUGGGGUAAUGGCUCACCAAGGCGACGACGGGUAGCCGGCCUGAGAGGGCGACCGGCCACACUGGGACUGAGACACGGCCCAGACUCCUACGGGAGGCAGCAGUGGGGAAUAUUGGGCAAUGGAGGAAACUCUGACCCAGCGACGCCGCGUGAGGGAUGAAGGCCUUCGGGUUGUAAACCUCUUUCAGCACCGACGAAGCGCAAGUGACGGUAGGUGCAGAAGAAGGACCGGCCAACUACGUGCCAGCCGCCGCCGUAA
rnacentral:rRNA from 1 species